rnacentral:rRNA from 1 species
ACGAACGCUGGCGGCAGGCCUAACACAUGCAAGUCGAACGCUGUAGCAAUACAGAGUGGCAGACGGGUGAGUAACGCGUGGGAACGUACCCUUCGGUCUGGAAUAACCCAGGGAAACUUGGGCUAAUACCGGAUACGUGCGAGAGCAGAAAGAUUUAUCGCCGAAGGAUCGGCCCGCGUCCGAUUAGCUAGUUGGUGAGGUAAAGGCUCACCAAGGCGACGAUCGGUAGCUGGUCUGAGAGGAUGAUCAGCCACACUGGGACUGAGACACGGCCCAGACUCCUACGGGAGGCAGCAGUGGGGAAUAUUGGACAAUGGGCGCAAGCCUGAUCCAGCAAUGCCGCGUGAAUGAUGAAGGCCUUAGGGUUGUAAAGUUCUUUCGCUCGUGACGAUGAUGACGGUAACGAGAGAAGAAGCCCCGGCUAACUUCGU